CCUACGGGCGGCAGCAGUGAGGAAUAUUGGUCAAUGGGCGCGAGCCUGAACCAGCCAAGUAGCGUGAAGGAUGACUGCCCUACGGGUUGUAAACUUCUUUUAUCCAGGGAUAAAGUGAGGCACGUGUGCCUUUUUGUAUGUACUUUAUGAAUAAGGAUCGGCUAACUCCGUGCCAGCAGCCGCGGUAAUACGGAGGAUCCGAGCGUUAUCCGGAUUUAUUGGGUUUAAAGGGAGCGUAGAUGGGUUGUUAAGUCAGUUGUGAAAGUUUGCGGCUCAACCGUAAAAUUGCAAUGGAUACUGGAAGUCUUGAGUACAGAUGAGGUAGGCGGAAUUCGUGGUGUAGCGGUGAAAUGCUUAGAUAUCACGAAGAACUCCGAUUGCGAAGGCAGCUUACUAAACUGCCACUGACAUUGAUGCUCGAAAGUGUGUAUAUCAAACAGGAUGAGAUACCCGUAGUC
rnacentral:rRNA from 1 species